rnacentral:rRNA from 1 species
AUACGGAGGAUGCAAGCGUUAUCCGGAUUUAUUGGGUUUAAAGGGUGCGUAGGCGGUUUGCUAAGCGGGAGGUGAAAUGCCGGCGCUCAACGUCGGAAGUGCCUCCCGAACUGGUGGACUGGAAUGACUCUGCCGUGGGAGGAAUGUGUAGUGUAGCGGUGAAAUGCUUAGAGAUUACACAGAACAUCGAUUGCGAAGGCAUCUCACGAAGGGUUGAUUGACGCUGAGGCACGAAAGCGUGGGGAUCAAACAGGAUUAGAUACCCUGGUAGUCCACGCAGUAAACGAUGAUGGCUAACCGCUGGUUUAUUCGGAUCAGUGGCCAAGCGAAAGCGAUAAGCCAUCCACCUGGGGAGUACGACCGCAAGGUUGAAACUCAAAGGAAUUGGCGGGG